rnacentral:rRNA from 1 species
AGCAGCCGCGGUAAUUCCAGCUCCAAUAGCGUAUAUUAAAGUUGUUGCAGUUAAAAAGCUCGUAGUUGAAUUUCGGGAUCAAUUUAUUGGUCGUGCUAUUGUACGUACUGGUAUUAUUGAUUCCUACCUUCUGACGAACCAUGAUGUCAUUAAUUUGGUGUCAUGGGGAAUCAGGACUGUUACUUUGAAAAAAUUAGAGUGUUUAAAGCAGGCUCACGCUUGAAUACAUUAGCAUGGAAUAACGAAAUAGGACGUUUGAUUCUAUUUUGUCGGUUUCUAGGAUCGACGUAAUGAUUAAUAGGGAUAGUUGGGGGCAUUAGUAUUCAAUUGUCAGAGGUGAAAUUCUUGGAUUUAUUGAAGACUAACUACUGCGAAAGCAUUUGCCAAGGAUGUUUUCAUUAAUCAAGAACGAAAGUUAGGGGAUCGAAGACGAUCAGAUACCGUCGUGGUCUUAACCAUAAACUAUGCCGACUAGGGAUCGGAUGACGUUAAUUUUUUAAUGACUCAUUCGGCGCCUUAC